rnacentral:rRNA from 1 species
UACGGAGGAUGCAAGCGUUAUCCGGAAUGAUUGGGCGUAAAGCGUCCGCAGGUGGCUGUGUAAGUCUGCUGUCAAAGAGCGAAGCUCAACUUCGUAAAGGCAGUGGAAACUACACGGCUAGAGUGCGUUCGGGGCAGAGGGAAUUCCUGGUGUAGCGGUGAAAUGCGUAGAGAUCAGGAAGAACACCGGUGGCAAAGGCGCUCUGCUAGGCCGCAACUGACACUGAGGGACGAAAGCUAGGGGAGCGAAUGGG